rnacentral:ncRNA from 2 species
AGUGUCGAACAGAGGUCGCGAUUCUUAUUAGUAAGUAAUUAGAGUUGAAAAGCAACGAAGAAGAUUAUCUGAAAGGAAGCAUCGCCGAAGUGUAUUAAUGCUUUUUCAUUAGUACAUUGGGCCUUGACUUAAUAGGUCAAGGACUGUCGUAAGAAAUUUCUUACGGAGCGCUAUCGAAACU